GAAAGUUAGGGCAAAAUCGGCAUUUUAUCUCAGCAAAACAAAAACACUCCCAAGUCCUACCCUCUUCACUCUACCGCCGUUCGCUCAUCCUUCUCGCACCUCAGAGAGGGCUGUCGAAAACCCUAAGCGCCAUCUCCGACUCAAAAUUGAGCAAAUCCGUACCGAAAGUUCAUAACUUUCAUUCAAUUCGGAAACCACAGAUUGUUCAAUUUCCCCCCUUUUUACUAUUGAUUUUUCUGUUUGUUGGAUUCGAAGGAGCCAUGCCGCCAAAGGCAUCGAAGGCCGACUUGGCGAAGAAGCAGAAGGUGGUGGAGGACAAGACCUUUGGGCUCAAGAACAAGAACAAGAGCAAGAAUGUCCAGAAGUACGUCCAGAAUCUCCAGCAGUCUGUCCAGCCCAAAGUAGACCCCACCAAGGCUAAGAAAAAGAAGGAGGAAGAGAAAGCAAAAGAGAAGGAGCUUAAUGAUUUGUUUAAGAUUGCUGUUAGUCAGCCUAAAGUGCCACCUGGUGUUGAUCCAAAGUCUAUAUUAUGCGAGUUUUUCAAGGUUGGACAAUGUACCAAGGGAUUCAAGUGCAAGUUUUCGCAUGACUUGAAUGUCCAGAGGAAGGGUGAAAAGAUUGAUAUUUACAGUGAUAAACGUGAUGAUGAAGACACUAUGGAGGAUUGGGAUCAAGCGACGUUGGAAAAGGUUGUGGAGUCAAAGAAGAAUGAGUAUAACCAGAAUAAGCCCACCGAAAUUGUUUGCAAACAUUUCUUAGAUGCAGUGGAAAAGAAGCAAUAUGGUUGGUUUUGGUCUUGUCCAAAUGGUGGAAAAGAGUGCCACUACAGACAUGCUCUUCCUCCUGGUUAUGUUUUGAAAUCUCAGAUGAAGGCGCUUCUCGAUGAAGAGGCUGAAAAAGUUGCCAUUGAGGAUGAAAUUGAAAAUCAGCGCGCAAAAGUAACAACCAUUACUCCAAUGACCACUGAGUUGUUCAUGCAAUGGAGGAAUAAAAAGACUGAAGAGAAAGAGGCUGGCCUGGCUGCACAACGAGCAGAGAGGGCUAAGAAUGACCGCAUGAGUGGUCGUGAGUUGUUUCUAUCAGAUGCUACCUUGUUUGUGGAUGAUGCUGAAGCGUAUGAAAAAUAUCAAAGACAAGAUCCUGAGGCCACUGAAGAGAAGGCCAAAGACAACUCAGCAGCAGGAGGGCCAAGCGCCUCGACUAGUGCUGCUGGUUCUGAAGUUCCCGUUAAUGAUGACAUUGAAGAUGAUGAUGAUGAUGAUGAGUUGGACUUUGAUGAGUUAAAUGAACUCGAAGCAAGUUUGUCAAGAACAUCCAUUCAGAUACGUGAGCCAGGUAUAGAGGCAUCUUGAAGAGGGGCAGAGAGAGUAACGUUGACAAUUUGCUUGUCGGGGGUGGUAAGAGACUAUAACGAGAAAUAUUGCUGUUCAAUUAACAUUCCGGUUUCGUGCAUCUUCUAAAUGCAUUUUUGCUGAAAUCGCAACUUCAGUGAAAUGAAAAUUCUCUCAACUGUAACAUAGAGAGCUGAACACUUUGGGAGAGCCAUGUUAAGAUUCAAGUCGACACAUAAGCUUCAUAUAGCCCCUCUGAAGUGGGACUCCGGGAGAGGGACGGACUUGCUCCGAGGAUGACCCUAGGGCGGUUCUGCAAGGGCAAGCUAAGCCUUGAGAGUUUCACAACAGAUUUAAAAUUUAGUUCAUCACUUGUAAGUGAAAGGUCUUAAAUUUGAUUCUCGCCAAA